GGCGCCUAGGCUUAGGGGCUCCAGAGGACUUAGCCAGUGGCGGGGGCAUGAGGACCCCUGGGUGCGUUUUGUGCCUUAAACGCUGACUUGAAGCCUAAGCCGGAAGUUUAAUGAGUGUUCAGGUGGCAGAGAUCUACUUUAGCGGACAAAGCUAUUUACCAGAGGGAAAGGAGUUGAAGAACUACCAGCUCUGCCAUCAGACCCCUGACUUCUCUUUGGAGCUUUUCACGCAGUAAUUGGCACUCUGGCUCCACGUGAUUCCUUGAAUAGCCCAAGAACGCCAUCACCAGGACCUUUACACUCUCCAGCCCCUCUCUGCCCAGAGGCCCCUGUGUGGCGAGCUGUGUCACCUCCUGCAUCUGUGCACAGAGGCCCCUUCCCCGUGAGGCUGUCCUGGACCACCCCGUAAUGUAUGGUAACCCGCUCGGCAGCACUCCUCCUUCCUCUGCUGCAUUCUUCUCUGCGAUAUAGAUCACAGUCUGACAUAAUAUGUAUUUGCUUGUUUGUCUUCUACCUGUUUCUGCCCCGGAGAAGAGAAUCUUUGAGAAUGGAGGGAUUUUUGUUGUUCACGGCUCUAUCCUUCCAUAAAUAUUUAUUAAAUAA